rnacentral:rRNA from 1 species
GAUCAUGGCUCAGAUUGAACGCUGGCGGAAUGCUUUACACAUGCAAGUCGAACGGUAGAGGGGGCAACCCUUGAGAGUGGCGAACGGGUGAGUAAUAUAUCGGAACGUGCCCAGUCGUGGGGGAUAACGUAGCGAAAGUUACGCUAAUACCGCAUACGAUCUAAGGAUGAAAGCGGGGGAUCGCAAGACCUCGCGCGAUUGGAGCGGCCGAUAUCAGAUUAGGUAGUUGGUGAGGUAAAGGCUCACCAAGCCAACGAUCUGUAGCUGGUCUGAGAGGACGACCAGCCACACUGGAACUGAGACACGGUCCAGACUCCUACGGGAGGCAGCAGUGGGGAAUUUUGGACAAUGGACGCAAGUCUGAUCCAGCCAUUCCGCGUGCAGGAUGAAGGCCCUCGGGUUGUAAACUGCUUUUGUACGGAACGAAAAGGUUUGUCUUAAUACGAUGAGCUCAUGACGGUACCGUAAGAAUAAGCACCGGCUAACUACGUG